GGGAGCCCUGGGGGACAGACAGAAGGACCAUCGAAGGAGAAACCCUGCUGGCCUCGGGACCUGGAGGAAAGAACCAGGGCCCGUGCUCCUUGGGCCAGGAUCCGGCGAUUGGACGGAACCUCUCGGAUUCCCCAGUGCUGUGAAAUCCACUUGGGGCCAUCACACCCUUCAUUGCUGUGCUCCCUGGCAGAACUCGAAUGCAGCGUGAGCUGGGCACUUUUCCCAGGGUUUGCUCUAGGUCUGGGUCUCCCAUCAGCUCCCCCGGAGCAGAGCCUGAGGCAAGGAUUCUUGUUCGGGGGCAUCUUCCUCUCAGCACCGUGCUUUGGGAAUCGAGUGAUGGUGCUGAGUGAACCCCUGAGUGAACAUCUGUGGCUUCCUCCCACCUCGUCUCUGGAUGCACUCCUGUUCGAAUGAUGUCUUAGAGGAUAAAAAUGAGCGGGCAGAUGAAGAGAUACUCAGGGUGAGGUUUGGAAGGUGCACCAGGCCCACCCCAUGGAUGUGGCUCAGAGAGCCUGGGAAACGUGAGGUCUGUGACCUGGAUCAGGCCCAGAGAGACCUGAGCAGGAGGCGUGUGAAGCCCCUGCGCCUGUGCGAGGAGGGAAGCUGUUUCAGGGAAUUUGCCUUUCUUUCCCUGUAGUUUCAGACUAGCUGAUAAAUUACCUAAAAUGUUACCACAAGAUGCACAAUGUAACCAUCACUCAUUAUCUUCAUGUUCCUGGAAUUUUUUUUUUUUUUUUGAGAUAGAGUGUAGCCUCAUGGCAGCCUCAACCUCCUGGGCUCAAGUUGUCAGAGGCGUGUGAACCAGAGCAACUCCAUCUUGAAUGGGGCUGCGUAAAAUGAAGCUGAGACCUGUGGGGCUGCAUUCCCAGACCGCUGUGGCAUUCUGAGUCACAGGGUGAGACAGGAGGUCAGCACAAGAUACAGGUCAUAAAGACCUUGCUGAUAAAACAGGUUGCAGCAAAGGAGCCGUCCAAAUCCCACCAAAACCAAGAUGGUGACAAGAGUGACCUCUGGCCGUCCUCACUGCCACACUCCCACCAGCCGUGACAGUUUACAGAUGCCAUGGCAACCUCAGGAAGUCACCAUAUAUGGUCUAAAAAGGGGAGGUAUGAAUAAUCCACCCCUUGUUUAGCAUAUCAUCAAGAAAUAACCACAAAAACGGAGAACCAGCAGUCCUCGGGGCUGCUUUGUCUAUGGAGUAGCCAUUCUUUUUUUUUUUUUCGAGAUGGAGUCUCGCUCUGUUGCCUGGGCUGGAGUGCGGUGGCAUGAUCUUGGCUCACUGCAACCUCUGCCUCCUGGGUUUAAGUGAUUCUCCUGCCUCAGCCGAGCUGAGUAGCUGGGCUUACAGGCACCCACCACCAUGCCCGGCUAAUUUUUUGUAUUUUUAGUAAAGCCAGGGUUUCAUUAUACUAGCCAGGCUGGUCUCGAACUCCUGACCUCAUGACCUGCCUGCCUCAGCUUCCCAAAGUACUGGGAUUACCGGUGUGAACCACCGUGCCCAGCCAGAGUAGCCAUUCUUUACUCCUUUACUUUCCUAAUAAACUUCCUUUCACUUUACUCUGUGAACUUGCCCUGAAUUCUUUCUUGUGAGAGAUCCAAGAACCCUCUCUUGGGGUCUGGAUUGGCACCCCUUUCCUGUAACAAAGCCAUUCUCCCACCUUAGCCUCCCAAAUAGCUAAGACCACGGGUGUGUGCCACCGUGCCUGGCUAAUUUUUAAUUUUUUUUUU
rnacentral:lncRNA from 1 species